rnacentral:rRNA from 1 species
CCCCCCCCCCUACCCUGAUGAACCCAACGAUUUUCAUCCUUGAUCGGAAGGUCCGGGUAAUCUUUUGAAACUUCGUCGUGCUGGGGAUAGUCCCUUGCAAUUUUUGGACUUUAACGAGGAAUUCCUAGUAAGCGUGAGUCAUCAACUCGCGUUGAUUACGUCCCUGCCCUUUGUACACACCGCCCGUCGCUACUACCGUUGAAUGGCUAAGA